UACGGGAGGCAGCAGUGGGGAAUAUUGCACAAUGGGCGCAAGCCUGAUGCAGCGAUGCCGCGUGAGGGAAGAAGGUUUUCGGAUUGUAAACCUCUGUCAUCGGGGACGAAAAUGACGGUACCCGAGAAGGAAGCUCCGGCUAACUACGUGCCAGCAGCCGCGGUAAU
rnacentral:rRNA from 1 species